CACGUAGGCACCAAGCGUUAUCCGGAUUUAUUGGGCGUAAAGAGCUCGUAGGCGGUUCGGUAAGUCGGGUGUGAAACUCUGGGCUCAACCCAGAGAGGCCACCCGAUACUGCUGUGACUAGAGUGCGGUAGGGGAGCGGGGAAUUCCUGGUGUAGGCGGUGGAAAUGCGCAGAUAUCAAGGAGGAACACUAGCGGCGAAGGCGCCGCUCUGGGGCCGUAACUGACGCUGAAGGAGCGAAAGCAUGGGUAGCAAACAGGAU
rnacentral:rRNA from 1 species